rnacentral:rRNA from 1 species
GACAGAGGUGCCGAGCGUUAUGCGGAAUCACUGGGCUUAAAGCGUGUGUAGGCGGACCGUUAAGUGUCUUGUGAAAUCCCCCGGCUCAACCGGGGAAUUGCUGGGCAUACUGGCGGUCUUGAGCAGUCUAGGGGCAGAUGGAACAAGUGGUGGAGCGGUGAAAUGCGUAGAUAUCACUUGGAACGCCAAAGGUGAAGACAGUCUGCUGGGGACUUGCUGACGCUGAGACACGAAAGCCAGGGGAGCGAACGGG